rnacentral:lncRNA from 1 species
AGACUCCGCAGAGCGCCUCCCGGAGCCGGCGGGGGGGAGCCCGAGUCUCCAGCUCUCCGGGCUCGCGUGGUUCCUCGCGGGAAAAGAGGGGGUCCCCUGCGGGCACAGGGCCGUCGCCGGAGGGGGUCCGCUGCGGCGCGGGGCUGCUGGGCGGCUGCCCCAACACGUCCGGAGGCCCCGCGAGAUUCCAGCCGUCGCAGCCCCUGGAGCCACCGGAGCGGAGGCAAGGCCGCCCAGGGCCGGGAGCCUCGAACCGAGUGAGCCGGCGCCGCCCGACGGUGUUCGGGGUCCCCCUUCGUGAGCGGCAUUCCUGACGCCGGUGACUGAACCCCGACCGGACUCAGUGGCGCGACGGGCCACCUCGCAGGAAGGCGGCCUGACAAGAAAUCGUUGAUAUUCGUGUUCACACAGGAGGAUGCGGUGUUGUAAAGUGACUUGACUUGGUGCUCUCAGCGAAGGAACGACAGAGGCGUCUCCGGAGGCUUAUGCUCUGUGCUUAACAUCCAUGAUCCCCCUUAACCAACACAGCAGAAAUAAAAAAUAAAAGGACUUGAAAAAUGUUUGUUCGUGAAAAGUUACCAAUGAGCAGAAGUCAGAGUUCACAUGGAAGGAAAAGAGGUUUUGGUUUGAUCUGCUUGACAAUUACAACCCCAACUGGUAUCUACUGCAUAAAAUUAAGGCUUAUACGGAGAGCAUCUCCUGGGAUGGGUGAUUCCCUUCAGUAACAGAGGAAGGACAUAACACGCUCUGGAACGAAUAGGCUCUGUUUUAGAAGGAAUGAGGGAAAGGUCAAAUUCAGAGGGCGUCAGCCUGAGGAAUGACUUUUGGGAGACCUCAGGGUUGCACAGCCGUCAGUGGAGCCGUGAUGGGAGUCAUUACAAGCACUUUCGGACUCGGCUCUUUAGCCAAUCAUCUAUGCAAUUUAUAUGAAUUCUAUUUCAUUCAACCUAUAGAUGUAUAUAAAUAGUUUUCAUGCAGAUCUUUUUACAUAAAAUAUAAGAUUU